AUUGAAAAAUGUUUCGGAAUUUUUCUGAAACUUUCUGAAGUUUUCUAGAAGUUUCAAGAGCUUCCUAGAUUCUAAUUAUAUGUUCUGAAAUUUUCUGAAAUUUUCUGGAUUUUACUAGAAUUUUAUGAGUAAUUUUUUCAGAUAUACUG
ensembl:ncRNA Y69H2.26 ncRNA